rnacentral:lncRNA from 1 species
AAAAAGAAGAGGAAGUUACCCUCCGAUGUGACUGAAGGGAAAACUGUCUUCAUCAGUUGACUCAGAAGAGGAAGCGCUUGGGGAGGUCCUCCAGCAAUUUGGUGAUCUUAAGUAUGUCCGGAUUGUCUUGCAUCCAGACACAGAGCAUUCUAAAGGUUGUGCAUUUGCACAAUUCGUGACUCAGGAAGCAGCUCAGAAAUGCCUUGCAGCAGCUUCUCCAGAGACCGAGGGUGGUGGGCUUAAACUGGAUGGCCGGCAGCUCAAGGUCGACUUGGCUGUGACCCGUGAUGAGGCAGCAAAGCUUCAGACAAAGAAGGUGAAGAAGCCAACUGGAACGCGGAACCUCUAUCUGGCCCGAGAAGGCUUGAUCCGCGCUGGGACGAAGGCUGCUGAGGGUGUGAGUGCCGCAGACAUGGCCAAACGCGAGCGGUUUGAGCUACUGAAACAUCAGAAACUCAAGAACCAGAAUAUCUUUGUCUCCCAGACCAGGCUUUGCCUGCACAACCUCCCGAAGUCAGUGGAUGAUAAACAGCUAAGGAAGCUGCUGCUGCAGGCCACUGGAGGAGAGAAGGGGGUUCGCAUUAAGGAGUGUAGAGUGAUGCGAGACCUAAAGGCAGUUCAUGGAAAAAUGAAGGGUCAGUCCCUGGGCUAUGCCUUUGUGGAGUUCCAAAAGCAUGAGCAUGCCCUCCGAGCCCUCCGCCACUUCAACAACAACCCGGAGACCUUUGGGCCCCAGAAGAGACCAAUAGUGGAGUUCUCUUUAGAAGAUCGAAGGAAACUUAAAGUAAAGGAGCUGAGAAUCCAGCGCAGCCUGCAAAAAAUGGGAUCUAAGCCUGUGACCAGUAAGCCCCAAAAGGAACAGAAAGAACAAGGAAAAGACAAGCAACAGAAAGCAGCUCAGGGCGGCACGCGGGAUCAGAGUAAGGCGCCUGGAGAGCAGGGGAAGGGCCGCUGCACCUCGUGGACAGGGUUCCAGACCAAGGCCGAGGUGGAGCAGGUGGAGCUCCCCGACGGGACAAG